rnacentral:rRNA from 1 species
UACAGAGGGUGCGAGCGUUAAUCGGAAUUACUGGGCGUAAAGCGUGCGUAGACGGUUAUUUAAGUCGGGUGUGAAAGCCCCGGGCUCAACCUGGGAAUUGCAUUCGAGACUGAAUAGCUAGGGUACGGUAGAGGGAAGCGGAAUUUCCGGUGUAGCGGUGGAAUGCGCAGAUAUCAGGAGGAACACCAGCGGCGAAGGCGGCGCUCUGGGCCGGUACUGACACUGAGGAGCGAAAGCGUGGGGAGCAAACAGG